GGGCUGAUGGCGAAACUUGGCUAAACGCGGAAGGCUCUUGACCUUCUACAUACGGGUUCAAAUCCUGUUCAGCCCA
rnacentral:tRNA from 1 species